CAGCAGAGGAAACAAGGCUGAGGAGACAGAGCGGUAGCAGCAACAUCAACACCGGGGGAUUUGUCCGGAAGCACAUGUCCACUCUUCCUUUGGCUUGAGUUGGCCUGAGUUCUUGGCUUUCUCAUGCGUCCCGAGCAUCACACUUCUGCCAUACAGUGUAUUUAUACAUGUUCUGUGAUCAAAAUAGAACUGAAAAGGACCUCUGAAAAUGUGAGAGAGCAGUGAUUUAAGAUGAGAAACAAGGCUGGAAGCAUCCUGGAGGUACAGUCCUGGGGAACAACAGAGUCAUCCAGCGACAUGCAGUACAUAUGGACAUGCAUAGGAGUGUAUACAUAGGUUUUGCCUGGAGGAGGUAUACCCUCUGCAAAAGAGGAGUCGCACCUGUGAUGCAGAGGUCACAAGUGUUUGAGACUCGUUGCUGACACUUCAGUCAGGUUGUUGUGCCUGCUCGGACAGAGGGCUGUCAGCAAAGGUUGCAGAGCGCACUCAACAUGGAACCCACUGUUCUGAAGGAAGCACAUAUCUCAGGACCUGUUCCUGGUUAUGGUCAGGCUGAGGAGAUGGCUCGGCGGAUAAAACUCUUGCCACGCAAGUACCAGGACCUAAGUUCCAUCCCCAGAACCUACAUUUUAAAAAGACUGCCUCCCCAGGUGUAAUCUUAAAAUGUGGAUCUGCUCCUGCAGACAGCAGAUCCACAGGCUCUCUGCUCAACUGAUACUUCUAGAAUGACCUACCAAGACACCCACCACAUUGUCAUAAAGUGAUGAUGGUGGGUCUGCAGCUCCACUUUCUGGGAACAGUCACUGCUUUUUACAUAGGUGUGAAUCUACAUCGGAUGCACCAUGCCCAGUUCAUCUAUUUGAAGACAGAAUGGACCAGUGUGUACUCAGAAGCUUGAGUGAAUGCUGAAAGAUACAGGGGUGACCCAGACUCUGUCAAUCACUUUUGCUUUUAGGGUUCAAAUUGCACUCUGUUCAUGGUAUUUUUUAGUUUGACUGGGGAAAAAGAGUGCUUAAGAAUAUUCUGGCUACCGGACAAUUGUGAAAAUCAGAAGCUAGUAAGGAGAUCAAGAGCUUUGAAAUAGCUAAUCUCAGGGAUAAACUUCCAGUUAAAGACAGGUACACACACCAAACCUGUGAUAGCAGCCCCAAACAUAAGUGAAUGAGUAAGAAGAUCCACACAGAGACUGCUCUUUUCUGCCCAAUACCCACUCUGGAAUGCACCUCUGAUAACUUAGUGCAGUCUUGGGUGGGCACCUGCAUACACAAAACUUACCUAUUUGGUUGUGUGCUCAAGGGAAGGAUGUGAAAGUGUGAAAUACAAUAUUCAGCAGCUCUGUCAAACACAAGUUGUUCCUUAAAAUGACAGUUUUAUGGAGCUGUGAUGAAUGCUGUUUGUAGUACAAAGUAUUUUCUAUGGAAACAUAACCCUGAAUUACAAUGAAAUAACUUGCAUUAAAAAACUGUAAGCCAUG